rnacentral:rRNA from 1 species
CAGGAUGAACGCUGCGGCGUAGCUUAACACAUGCAAGUCGAGCGAAGACGAUUUAAGGAAGUUUCGGAUGGAAUUAAAUGACUUAGCGGCGGACGGGUGAGUAACGCGUGGGUAACCUAGCCUCAUACAGGGGGAUAACAGUUAGAAAUGACUGCUAAUACCGCAUAAGCGCACAGUGUCACAUGACACAGUGUGAAAACCUCCGGUGGUAUGAGAUGGACCCGCGUCUGAUUAGGUAGUUGGUGAGGUAAUGGCUCACCAAGCCGACGAUCAGUAGCCGACCUGAGAGGGUGACCGGCCACAUUGGGACUGAGACACGGCCCAAACUCCUACGGGAGGCAGCAGUGGGGAAUAUUGGACAAUGGGGGAAACCCUGAAUGCAGCAACGCCGCGUGAGUGAUGACGGUCUUCGGAUUGUAAAACUCUGUCUUUGGGGACGAUAAUGACGGUACCCAAGGAGGAAGCCACGGCUAACUACGUGCCAGCCGCAGC